rnacentral:tRNA from 1 species
AAGCCCCGGCACCUUUUAGGGUGCUUCUCCGAACUUGCAUUUCGAUGUGCCUCCACCUNGGGG